ACGCUCGACACCUACGGGGGCAGCAGUAGGGAAUCUUCCACAAUGGACGCAAGUCUGAUGGAGCAACGCCGCGUGAGUGAAGAAGGUCUUCGGAUCGUAAAACUCUGUUGUUAGAGAAGAACACGAGUGAGAGUAACUGUUCAUUCGAUGACGGUAUCUAACCAGCAAGUCACGGCUAACUACGUGCCAGCACGCGUAGCGUAUNGGNGCGGGCAGGCAG
rnacentral:rRNA from 1 species